rnacentral:snoRNA from 1 species
UUUUGUGAUGAACAUUUUCUUUGCUUCGGCAAGUUGGAAUUACCGACUGAUCUCACCUUGAAGAAAACAACUGGCUGUUUCUGAUC